rnacentral:rRNA from 1 species
AUUGAACGCUGGCGGCAGGCCUAACACAUGCAAGUCGAACGGUAACAGGAAGCAGCUUGCUGCUUUGCUGACGAGUGGCGGACGGGUGAGUAAUGUCUGGGAAACUGCUCGAUGGAGGGGGAUAACUACUGGAAACGGUAGCUAAUACCGCAUAACGUCGCAAGACCAAAGAGGGGGACCUUAGGGCCUCUUGCCAUCGGAUGUGCCCAGAUGGGAUUAGCUAGUAGGUGGGGUAACGGCUCACCUAGGCGACGAUCCCUAGCUGGUCUGAGAGGAUGACCAGCCACACGGGAACGGAGACGCGGUCCAGACUCCUACGGGAGGCAGCAGUGGGGAAUAUUGCACAGUGGGCGCAAGCCUGAUGCAGCCAUGGCGCGUGUAUGAAGAAGGCCUUCGGGUUGUAAAGUACUUUCAGCGGGGAGGAAGGGAGUAAAGUUAAUACCUUUGCUCAUUGACGUUACCCGCAGAAGAAGCACCGGCUAACUCCGUG